UUGGCUAUAUCGUGAAUGGAUUUACUUCACUGUAUAUAUUUUCUACUUCUAAGAAAAAUAACCAGAUAUUUUCCCCAGAGCAAAAUCCUAAGAACUUUGAAAAGCACUCUGCUUCAGGCUCUAUCACAUUUCACUUAAAGCCACUGGCCUUCUUUUACAAGCAUACUAAAAGGGGACAGAUUAAGGGUAGCUUUUAUGGGAUUUAUGAGUUUGGUUCAUUCACUUUUGUAUGUAUAGAAGGAUAAGAGAUAGAAUGAAAAUGAAAGAAGGAUAAGAAUGCUAAGAAGAUUUAUUGGUUCUUAUUCUAUCCUAAUUCUCCAAAACCCCAACUUCAAUAGCACCAGUUCCACAACCAAAAAAAAAAAAAGACGGAAAAAAGCAAAACUAUUGCACUUAGUGUAUGUUGGGCCCUGCCGUUUCAAAUGAAAAUUUUCAAGUAUUUUGUUAUACCUAUCUUCAAGAACAACUCUUUCUUAUUUUGUUAUUAUUAUUUAAUUUUCUUACCUUUUGUUCUGAUUAGGAACUUGGCUUUGACCCUGAGUUUGAAGUCCAGCCCAAGUUUCACUAUGUAAACUUUAAACUCCAAGGCCAGUUCUUUAAUUUUCUUCUGAGGCUCAUUUUAUCUAGUUUGAUAAUAGUGUAUCAUGCAGGAUGUGAAUUGUUUCAGUUCUAUAGGUCUGUUAUUAGGAAUUAGGAUAAUCCUUAAAGACUUACAGUUGGCUUCCAGUUCAUUUUAGCAGUGCUGCUUUAUCAUCACUCUCAGUGAUUCUUUCACUUCAGCUAUGAGUGGACCCAGUUUUGAGCUGUUUGAAGGUAAUCGUCUCCCAAAGAUGAAUGACUCAGGCGGGUCAAUCAGGAAGUCUGGAGAUGGCAGCUCAAUGCUGGUUUGAUCACUUUUCAUAAAGCAUAAGAAACUGAUGGUGAAAAGCUAUUACUGAAAACACUGUAUGCAGUCUACAAAGGACAUGAAAAAAUUAAGCUGGUACUGAUGUGAAAGCUUCAUCCCUACUAACGUCCCUUCAUCCCUGGCUAACUUUCACAAUCUGGAAAUUGUGAUACCAAGGAAGAAAUGUCACCAACAGUAUUACCAGCUUUAUAUCAACUUCACAAAAUGGAACUCACAACUGACAAUAUUUACUGGGGCAAACCCUCUUAUAACUGGCUAGGUCCUAAGUAAGAACUUGCUAUUAUUAUUCUACAAAAUGGAUAUUAUAACAAUCUUCCCACUAAAUCUUUAUCUUUCUUAAUAGAUCAACUCUCUGCCUUCAUCAGUGAAGCUUCUCUUGUGGUUCAUGGUGAUGAAUACAGAGAUCCACAUCAUUGUUAAUAUUAGAAGAAUAUGAGACUAUGGACUGCUAAGAUCUAAAGAGAGUAUCUAUAUCAUACCUCCAACACCACUAGCUCAUGGAUCACUGAGGAGGGGUUCUGGAAAUUUUGUAAAGGCCAGAAGUAGUGGAGGCCUGCAGUGAAAAAUAAUUUGCUGGAUAUGACAGGGCUUUUGAACAAAUUAACUUAGAGCUACUAUAACGGAAUGAAUGAAACCUUCACAAAAGCAGGCCAAGCAGCAUCCCAGCAUGGAUGAAGAAGUUUCUGAUGAGGUGCCACCUGUAGCUGGGAAGCUAUUGACAACCACAGGCUGCCGAAGAGGGGAACUUUGUUUCCUUCAUGGAUGAAGGCCCUGAAAGGCUACCUAUACCCCAGAACAUAGUCACACACCCAAAAACAUCGGAUCAGAACAAGUAGACUCGGUAUGUUUAAAUAUGAGAGAGGGAGAGAGAGAAAACAUUGAGUUUGCAGAGGAAAGGGAUGUGUUAUAAAGUGUAUUAAAAAGGCAGGGAGACGAAUUUGAUUUAAUUGAAAUUCAGCAUGUUCAUGUAUGAAAUUUUCAACAAAACAAUAGUAUAUUAAGUCAACCUUCCCACUCCCUAAAAUUAGAGAAAAAUAAUUUGAGUAUCUUUUGCACAAGCUUACACGCAAAAUGUUUGUUUUGUUAUAGUAAUUCUACAUUUUUUAUGAUUACAAAUAUUAAAACAGAUUUUACUUUUACAAAAAAAAAAGAUAAAACUAAAAAUUAACGAUUGAGGAGGUGAGUCUUUGUUCUCCUAGAUGACCACCACAGCCUCUCGGCUUUAGGCCCCCCUACUCUGACCCAUUGUGACCCCAGUUGUAGGGCAACAGGCAGGCCUCCUGCAGGCAGGCCUGACUAUGUCACCCACCAUUGGCCCCAGUAACCUACAAGCCCCACACCAUCCCCCAAACCCACCCAUUGCCCCAAGACCACAGCUGCUCUUUGAGAUACACACUCCACCCACUAUGAUUGGUCCAAGAGCACAAAUUGAAAUAAGAGCUCCAAUUGGACCAGGAGUGUCAAUUGGACCAAGAGAGACUCCCUGAGACACAGACACUGUUUGCACCAAUUGGAGGAAGAGAUAGGUAGAAGCCAGUGCAAGAAUACAUUCAGCAACAUAAAGAGCAAUAUGGCACCAGUAGAAAUUAGUGUUUCUACAUCAGCAAGAACUAAAGAUGACAACAUAAAAGAAGCAUAAGGAAAUGACCUUAAAAAUGA